rnacentral:rRNA from 1 species
GACGAACGCUGGCGGCGUGCUUAACACAUGCCAGUCGAACGGAAAGGCCCUGCUUUUGUGGGGUGCUCGAGUGGCGAACGGGUGAGUAACACGUGAGUAACCUGCCCUUGACUUUGGGAUAACUUCAGGAAACUGGGGCUAAUACCGGAUAGGAGCUCCUGCUCCAUGGUGGGGGUUGGAAAGUUUCGGCGGUUGGGGAUGGACUCGCGGCUUAUCAGCUUGUUGGUGGGGUAGUGGCUUACCAAGGCUUUGACGGGUAGCCGGCCUUAGAGGGUGACCGGCCACAUGGGGCCUGCGAUAGGGCCCAGACUCCAACGGGAGGCAACAGUGGGGAGUAUUGCACAGUGGGCGGAAGCCUGAUGCAGCAACGCCGCGUUCGGGAUGACGGCCUUCGGGUUGUAAACCGCUUUCGCCUGUGACGAAGCGUGAGUGACGGUAAUGGGUAAAGAAGCACCGGCUAACUACGUG